CCCUGCCGAUAGCAUGUACCUUGACGUGGUGGUAGGGCAACUAAUUGACCGGCUACCAACAAGUAUGUUCAACGAUAAAUCCACUAUUGUACAUAAAAAAGUUACGUAACCGGUCAAUUAGGCUAAACAUGC
rnacentral:ribozyme from 1 species